UGGGGAAUAUUGCACAAUGGGCGCAAGCCUGAUGCAGCCAUGCCGCGUGUGUGUAGAAGGCCUUCGGGUUGUAAAGCACUUUCAGCGGGGAGGAAGGCGAUAAGGUUAAUAACCUCAUCGAUUGACGUUACCCGCAGAAGAAGCACCGGCUAACUCCGUGCCAGCAGCCGCGGUAAUACGGAGGGUGCAAGCGUUAAUCGGAAUUACUGGGCGUAAAGCGCACGCAGGCGGUCUGUCAAGUCGGAUGUGAAAUCCCCGGGCUCAACCUGGGAACUGCAUUCGAAACUGGCAGGCUAGAGUCUUGUAGAGGGGGGUAGAAUUCCAGGUGUAGCGGUGAAAUGCGUAGAGAUCUGGAGGAAUACCGGUGGCGAAGGCGGCCCCCUGGACAAAGACUGACGCUCAGGUGCGAAAGCGUGGGGAGCAAACAGG
rnacentral:rRNA from 1 species